UGCACCUGACUUGGCCACUUGAUGACACGUGAUCAUGAGCGUGCAACGUGUGCUUUCACGGUGGAGAUGAGCGACAUUGAAGACGCCAUUUUGUCAGAACUUCACAGGACAUUCAGGAAAGGUUACCACAGCUACACGUCUAUUCGGGAAUAAGGUCGAUGAACAACUGGUCAUGGAACGAACAGGCCACAGAAGCUCGGCAGCAAGGCUGUGCAAGAGAACUUCUAACGGUCUUCAGAAGGAGAUAUCGGACAUGCUGCAACCACCAGCACCGGACACGAGGCCACGGGUACAUCUUCCCCACCAUCAAAGAAGAUCGCAAUCGAGACAGCACAUAAUCAAGAUGCCGCUAACGCCGGAAACGUCAUUAAUAUCAGUUUGUAACAGGUCCAGAAUAAAUGGCUAAAAUGA